UACAGAGGGUGCAAGCGUUAAUCGGAAUUACUGGGCGUAAAGCGUGCGUAGGCGGCUUUUUAAGUCGGAUGUGAAAUCCCCGAGCUCAACUUGGGAAUUGCAUUCGAUACUGGCAAGCUAGAGUAUGGGAGAGGAGGGUAGAAUUCCAGGUGUAGCGGUGAAAUGCGUAGAGAUCUGGGGGAAUACCGAUGGCGAAGGCAGCCAUCUGGCCUAAUACUGACGCGGAGGUACGAAAGCGGGGGGAGCAAACAGG
rnacentral:misc_RNA from 1 species